AUCUAAAUAGUUUAAGCGGAAAAUGUUGGUUUGUGGUGCCAGUGAUAUACUUUGUAUUUUAGAUU
rnacentral:tRNA from 2 species